GGGCCUAUAGCUCAGCGGUUAGAGCAGGGGACUCAUAAUCCCUUGGUCGGGGGUUCGAAUCCCUCUGGGCCCA
rnacentral:tRNA from 1 species